rnacentral:rRNA from 1 species
AGCAGCCGCGGUAAUACGUAGGGUGCGAGCGUUAAUCGGAAUUACUGGGCGUAAAGCGUGCGCAGGCGGUUUUGUAAGACAGGCGUGAAAUCCCCGAGCUCAACUUGGGAAUGGCGCUUGUGACUGCAAGGCUAGAGUAUGUCAGAGGGGGGUAGAAUUCCACGUGUAGCAGUGAAAUGCGUAGAGAUGUGGAGGAAUACCGAUGGCGAAGGCAGCCCCCUGGGACGUCACUGACGCUCAUGCACGAAAGCGUGGGGAGCAAACAGGAUUAGAUACC